rnacentral:rRNA from 1 species
AUGCAUGAAGUCAUACGCCUUCUUGCCCUCAACAAAGCCAAGGAGGAAUGCUUUGGUAAAGUUUAUAAUGGCUCUGCUACUGGGGCAUUCUCUGUAGAGGGUGUACGUCGCAUAUCGGUCCAGGGAGAAAACCUUGAACAACUGAGCCGAUCUGGUGCAACACAUCUCCGUGCACUCCAUGUAUUUGGGAGGUAUAUCGAUAUUGACUUUCUGAAGCCUAUUCUAACUGCUUCGAAUCUGCUGUCGACAUUGGAUCUUAAAGGUACUCGUAUCAGAAUGCUGCCCAAUGAGGUAUUCGACUUGUUUAAUCUACGUUAUUUGGGUCUUAGACAUACCGAGAUCGAAAGCCUUCCUGAAGCAGUGGUGAGGUUACAAAAUUUGGAAGUCUUGGAUGCUUUUGGCACUAAGCUGACAUAUUUGCCAAACAAUGUUGUUAAACUUCAGAAGUCAAGACACCUAUAUGCGUGGACGUCCGGCAUAAGUGUAGGUGGGGUCAAGGUGCCUAAUGGCAUGCAGCACUUGGUAGGACUAUGGGCUCUUCAGGGCGUCAACGCCACUCCAGAGUUUCUGCGUGAAGUUAGAGUUCUUACGGAGCUAAGAACAUUCGGUGUGUGUAAAGUAAGAAGCCAACACUCUGCUGACUUGAGCAAUGCUAUCACCAAAAUGAGCCAUCUUGUUCAUCUCAAAAUUCUUGCUGCAGCUGAGAAUGAGGUUCUGCGGUUUGAAGGGCUAUAUUUACCUCCAACCCUUUCAUGGCUUUGUUUAGGAGGGCAACUAGGAAAAACAUUUAUGCCUGAGCUUUUCUCUUCAUGGUCACACCUUAAUAGCCUUACUCGCUUGACUCUGGCAUUCUCCAAUAUUGACGAGGAAACCUUUUCCUGUCUACGCGUGUUAUGUGGUCUACGCUUUCUCGAGCUAAUUAAGGCCUUUGAAGGGAAGAGGUUGCAUUUUACCGCAGGGUCAUUUCCAAAAUUUAGGUAUCUAUUCAUAUGGGUUGCGGCACAGCUCAACCAGGUUCAAAUAGAGGAGGGCGCGAUGCAAAACCUUGUCGAGCUAUCAUUCACAGAGUGUCCUGAGCUAAAUUUUCUUCCUAAUGGCAUCGAACACCUUGCAGCCCUUGAGAAAUUAAUUGUGAAAGACACGUCAGAAGAACUGAUAGAGAAACUCCGGCAGAAGAGAGAUUCUGAUGAAUGCACCAAACAUGUAAUGAAGAUUAGCCACAUAAGGAAUGUUACAGUUGGACUGAGGCAGAAAGGACUUUGGGAAAGGAUUAGGUGA